AUUGAACGCUGGCGGAAUGCUUUACACAUGCAAGUCGAACGGCAGCACGGGGGCAGCCCUGGUGGCGAGUGGCGAACGGGUGAGUAAUACAUCGGAACGUGCCCGGUCGUGGGGGAUAACGUAGCGAAAGUUACGCUAAUACCGCAUCCGAUCUGAGGAUGAAAGCGGGGGACCUUCGGGCCUCGCGCGAUCGGCGCGGCCGAUGUCAGAUUAGGUAGUUGGUGGGGUAAAGGCCUACCAAGCCGACGAUCUGUAGCUGGUCUGAGAGGACGACCAGCCACACUGGGACUGAGACACGGCCCAGACUCCUACGGGAGGCAGCAGUGGGGAAUUUUGGACAAUGGGCGCAAGCCUGAUCCAGCCAUUCCGCGUGCAGGACGAAGGCCUUCGGGUUGUAAACUGCUUUUGUACGGAACGAAAAGGCUCUGGCUAAUACCUGGGGCUCAUGACGGUACCGUAAGAAUAAGCACCGGCUAACUACGUG
rnacentral:rRNA from 1 species